GGCUGAAAUUGUUCCCCUUGUCUCAAGGAAAAACGCGGAGACCACGGUCGGUCGGCAAAUGGUUGGCAGCACAGUUGUACAUCGGUGGGACACUGAGAGGGCCUAGUACAAUGUCUGGAAUUGUAUAUUGUGCACGACAGAGCACCUUCAUCCUAUCGCUCACUGGAUGGUUCUAUAAAAGCAAUUUUUCACUUCCCCCGGCUUUGCAGGAGCCAGGUGUGCGCCCCAUAAUACGCCUAUUAUACAGCCAUUCUCGGUAGCCAUUGCUUAUACAAUGACUCUUCUGAUUUGCUCCAUUAUGGUGUGGCUGCCAACAACUUCGGUCCCCAUCCAGUGCCUCUUCAGGUAUGCAUUUCGCAUAUACUUCCAGGCAAAAAUUUCACCCUCCUACUCUCUUUGUCUUAAGACAAACAAAAGUGACUUUUUUUUUUUUAAAAACUGCAUGUGCCUGCAGCACAGGCGCCCGAAAAGAGGAAACCUGUUUCCCUCCUUGGUUUCUGGUUUCUCCACCCAGCCUCCUCACCACCCUCCCUCUCCGCGCACCCAGUCCUUCCGGCCUCCACCCAGACUCCGAGAAGUGCCCCGACAUUCCAGGAUGCACAACAUUCUGUCAGGUGAAGUCUUGGUUUCACCGGUACCCCAAAGGUGGCUCUGCUUGAACAGGCCACCUCAGCUCAUCUUGCCUCAUACGGUCAUUGAAGUCCCUCAUGAUGAUUAAAGAUCCAAAUGUAGUUUUCCCAGGAGGCACGAAACCCAACUCGCUCCCUGUAGGCUGGGUAUUUGCAAUUGAAAAAUGUCUCUCCAGCUCCUGCUGCUGUUCGCCGGUGUAGACAGGUGUGUUCCUGCUGCCCCCUCUGCAGUGAACCCGAGGACGGGGAGGCGUAUGCGAAGGGUAAUGGGCCAGACGCGCCCUACAGACAGUCCCCACCACCCUCCGCAUCCUCUUGGGCUGGACCCUGAUGAGCAGGCGGGGAGCUCAGGUGGCAUCUACCCAAGCGCCCUGCGCUGAGACCACAGCUCUGCACUUCCCAGCCCCGAGGCCCUGCCCUGCUCUGGGCCUCAGUGCCCACAUCUUUGAAAUGGGUGUGACUGGGGCUCCGAUACCAUUACAAGCCCAUGGCAGAGGGCUAUGUCGACCCACCCUACUCCCCGGCGCCCUCUCUUCUACCUGCUGAUGGCCUCUGUAAUCAGAGUGCUCUGCUGAACUCCACAGCAUAAAUUAAUCUCACUCCUCGAACACCAGGAUUCCUUCCUUCCUGUCUGCUCCUGUUUCCAGUGAUCUACCAUUCUUCCAGAUGGUCAGACUUAGACCCAUUGGUUUUAUAUACUUUUUAUUUAUUUUUUGCCCACUCCUAAUUUGACCAGGUCUCCUGGAUUAUAUAUUGAUUUACCUGAGAUCUUAUGAAACUUGGACGUUUUGUCUUUGGCCCCUUACCGUCGAUGGGUGUACUGAAUAAAGGCUUUGACGGCAUACUGGUCAAAUGCAAAUAUUUGGAAGAAACACUGACUGUGUGGAAUAAAGCACUAGGAAAAAUGAUUCAAUCAGCAGGAGUAAGUGAGCCCUAAUUAAAGAAAUGGAAUUGACUAAAUGAGCCUGUACCCUAUUAGGAGAGUGAGUGACUGGAUAUGAGAGGGGCUGAGACCAUUUCACAGAAGAAACACUGAAGUGUUAGGUGUGAGAAUGAGAAGGAAUGAAGUGUAAGGUGAGAAAUCAUGUUACCCCUCCAGUAUUUGAAGACUCCCACGGAGAAGCCUCAGAACUAUUAACCUUGUGAAGUUCUAGGAAGCAGAAGCAGGACCUGUGGAGAGAGCUGUGUCACGCAGGCCUCUGUCAAGGA
rnacentral:lncRNA from 1 species